GGAUCUGAGAGAUGCCAGUCAUGAGCGUGCAGUGGAGGCCAUCCGUAGUGCUGGAGACCCUGUUGUCUUCCUGGUGCAGACUGGACAACACAAAUCACAGUCGUCUCCUGUGCUCUCCAACCAUGAGAGGCAAGCCUCAGCGUCACACAGCGACUCACUGAACAACAGGCCAACAGCCAAUAGGACUGUCAGGAGAAGCCCCACAACUGUCUCUGCAACCAAUCACACGGAGAGACACGGAAGACGACA